AGUGUGUGUGUGUCCGUGUGUGUGAACCGCUCAUCCCUUGCAUACCUGCUCCUUCCCUCUUCCUCUGGAUAUGUAUACAUAUAUGAUGCGUUUAUAUAUGUAUAUGCGCAUUUUUAGCUUUUCGUUUUUUACGCAUCAUUUUUUUUGUAUCGCGCACAGUUGGAUUUUCUCACGCUGAAGGGCACGGGGAGAAUACUCCUCUGUUGUUGUUUUUUUCUCUGUAUUUUGUUUUUUUUUUAAACAACUGCGGCAUCCCAGCACCUGAUUUUCCCUUCCUGCAUGCAUGAAAACAUUCCAACCUGCCUACCUUUCCCCCCUAAAUCCCCUCCACCCUAAACCCCAAGACCAUCAUCCCUUGCAACCCUGGAAGAGGAGCCUCAGCUGGGGCAGAGAGCUUCAGCAGGACCCCCUGUUCACCCCUGGAUGGAGAAUAGCGAGAACUGUUGGAACUAAGAGAACAGGAGGGAAAAACAGGAUGUACGCUUGUGUAUCUUCUGCACUAGGGAGAAGAGAAAGAAUGAAGCUUAGGAUAAUGUUAGUAGUUUUGCAGAGAUAGACGAUAUUUCUGGGUAAUUCUUGUGUGAUCUGAUGCUUUUUUUUUCCCUGGAAUGUUAUUAUUUUUGUAAAUACAUGUAUGUUUUUUGUAUGCAUU
rnacentral:lncRNA from 1 species